UACGAAGGGGGCUAGCGUUGUUCGGAAUUACUGGGCGUAAAGCGCGCGCAGGCGGAUAUCCAAGGCAGUGGUGAAAGCCCGGAGCUCAACUCCGGAACUGCCAUUGAAACUGUUUAGCUUGAGGAUGAGAGAGGUGAGUGGAAUUCCCAGUGUAGAGGUGAAAUUCGUAGAUAUUGGGAAGAACACCGGUGGCGAAGGCGGCUCACUGGCUCAUUACUGACGCUCAGGCGCGAUAGCGUGGGGAUCAAACAGG
rnacentral:rRNA from 1 species